ensembl:snoRNA
UGAACCUAGAGUCAUCGCAGGUGUGACUGUGUGUCACACAUGAGUCAGUGACUGGCUGAGAAGAGAGAAUAUGUGUCUAUGAUCAGUGUUCUGAACUAGGAACAACUGAAUUAUUAGUAGCCUAACAUU